GACGAACGCUGGCGGCGUGCUUAACACAUGCAAGUCGAACGGAAAGGCCCUGCUUUUGUGGGGUGCUCGAGUGGCGAACGGGUGGGUAACACGUGAGUAACCUGCCCUUGACUUGGGUAUCACCACAAGAAACGGGGUAUAAUCCCGUAUGGGCGCUCGUGCUACGGGGGGGGGGUGGGAGAGUCGGCGGUUGGGGGUGGACUCGCGGCUUAUCAGCUUGUUGGUGGGGUAGUGGCUUACCAAGGCUUUGACGGGUAGCCGGCCUGAGAGGGUGACCGGCCACAUUGGGACUGAGAUACGGCCCAGACUCCUACGGGAGGCAGCAGUGGGGAAUAUUGCACAAUGGGCGGAAGCCUGAUGCAGCAACGCCGCGUGCGGGAUGACGGCCUUCGGGUUGUAAACCGCUUUCGCCUGUGACGAAGCGUGAGUGACGGUAAUGGGUAAAGAAGCACCGGCUAACUACGUG
rnacentral:rRNA from 1 species